AAUCUGUAGCGCAAUGGACAGCGCGUUGGACUUCUAAUCCAAAGGUUAUGGGUUAGAAUCCCACCUGGAAUA
rnacentral:tRNA from 1 species